rnacentral:rRNA from 1 species
UACGUAGGUGGCAAGCGUUGUCCGGAAUUACUGGGCGUAAAGCGCGCGUAGGCGGCUUUGUAAGUCGGGUGUGAAAUCCCCAGGCUUAACCUGGGAACUGCAUUGGAGACUGCAUUGCUAGAGUAUGGGAGAGGGAAGUGGAAUUUCCGGUGUAGCGGUGAAAUGCGUAGAUAUCGGAAGGAACAUCAGUGGCGAAAGCGACUUCCUGGACCAAUACUGACGCUCAUGUGCGAAAGCGUGGGGAGCAAACAGG